GUAUUUAAGGUAGCCCUAAGGUCACCAAAAAGUUGGACUUAGGCUGCUCUCGGAUUGCUGUUUUCAGGGCUGUGUACCAGUACAAGCUGAUGGCUGUACCGGUACAGGGUUGAUGGUUGUACCGGUACAGCCACCGGGCUUGUACCGGUACAGAGCCGUUGAAUCCCCAACCCGAGCCUCGGGUUGUGAUGUUUCGUAGGGCUUGUACCGGUACAGGGGCCCGUGUAUCGGUACAAGGUGGCAGAUUUUGAGCAGUUCGAACUGCAGGGGUGUUUUUGCUAUUGUAGCAUCUCUAUAAUACCACCCACGCCCCUUUGCUGAUCUCCUGAGCUGGGAAACACAGGAGGACAAGGUAGGGAGCCCUUCUCUUCUUCUCUUUUGAUUU
rnacentral:lncRNA from 1 species